rfam:Marinomonas mediterranea MMB-1, complete genome.
GGUGAGCUGUCCGAGUGGCCGAAGGAGCACGCCUGGAAAGUGUGUAUGUCGAAAGGCAUCAAGAGUUCGAAUCUCUUGCUCACCG